rnacentral:lncRNA from 1 species
GCUCACUUAAGCUCAUAACUUUGAGACCAGCCUGGGCAACAUAGCAAGAUCCUGUAUCAAAACAUAGUAAUAAAAUAAAAUCUAGCAAGAUAUCUACUGUGGAAAAAAUCCUUUUGAGAAUUAUACAGAGAGGAUUAGCAGAAAUAGAAUUUAUUGUAAUUUUUUAAGUCUUUUAUUGAGCAGUUUUAGGUACACAGCCUCUUCCACUAUCAACAUCCUGGCACCAGAGUGGUCUUUUUGUUAGAAUUGAUGAACUACAUGAACGCAUUAGCCUCACUCAGAGUCUGUAGUUUACAUUAGGCUUCACUUCUUGGUGUUGUACAUUCUGUGGGUUUAGACAAAAGUACAAUGACAUGUUUCCAGCAUUUGAGUGUCAGAGUAUUUUCAUGCCCUAAAGUUCCUUAUGCUCUGCCUAUUCAUCCCUCCCCUUAGCCACAACUCCUGAUCUCUUUAUCUCCAUAGUUUUGCCUUUGCUAGAAUGUCAUAGGGUUGGAAUUGUACCGUUUAUAGCCUUUUUAGAGUGACUUCUCUCACUUAGUAAUAUGCAUUUAAGCAUCCUUCAUGUCUUUUCUUGGCUUGUUAUUCAUUCUUUUCAUAGUUCAUUUUAGCAAUUGGGUGUUCCAUAGUUUAUUCAUUCACCUACUGAAGGAUACCUUGCUUGCUUCCAAAUUUCAGCAGUUAUGAAUUAAGAAGUUAGAUACAUCCAUAUAGCAUGAUGUUUUAAAUUCAUGACAGUAUCCAUGAGCUUUCACCUGGGUCUGAUUAUAGCCAUCUUGCUGACCCAGCCUCAUUGCUGGCUUCUCAGCUGCUGCUCUGGACCUCAAGAUGGUUCACAAGCAAUAAAU